UACGGAGGAUCCAAGCGUUAUCCGGAUUUAUUGGGUUUAAAGGGUGCGUAGGCGGGUUAUUAAGUCAGUGGUGAAAGCUCCAUGCCUAACAUGGAAAUUGCCAUUGAUACUGAUGAUCUUGAGCACAUUUGAAGUGGGCGGAAUGUGUCAUGUAGUGGUGAAAUACUUAGAUAUGACACAGAACACCGAUUGCGUAGGCAGCUCACUAAACUGUAACUGACGCUGAGGCACGAAAGCGUGGGGAGCAAACAGG
rnacentral:rRNA from 1 species